rnacentral:rRNA from 1 species
GAAUAUUGGACAAUGGGGGCAACCCUGAUCCAGCGACGCCGCGUGUGUGAAGAAGGCCUGCGGGUUGUAAAGCACUUUUAGUGGGGAUGAAAAGCACAUCACUAACACUGGUGUGUCUUGACCUACCCCAAAGGAAAAGCACCGGCUAACUCUGUCCCAGCCGCCGCGGUAAUACAGAGGGUGCGAGCGUUAAUCGGAAUUACUGGGCGUAAAGCGUGCGUAGACGGUUAUCUAAGUCGGGUGUGAAAGCCCCGGGCUCAACCUGGGAAUUGCAUUCGAGUCUGAAUAGCUAGGGUACGGUAGAGGGAAGCGGAAUUUCCGGUGUAGCGGUGAAAUGCGUAGAUAUCGGAAGGAACAUCAGUGGCGAAAGCGGCUUCCUGGACCAGUACCGACGUUCAGGCACGAAAGCGUGGGGAGCAAACAGG